GAUUUUGAUCCUGGCUCAGAGCGAACGCUGGCGGCACGCCUAACACAUGCAAGUCGAGCGAGAAAGUGACUUCGGUCGCGAGUAAAGCGGCGAACGGGUGAGUACAACGUGGAUAAUCUACCCCAGGGUCCGGGACAACCCCGAGAAAUCGGGGCUAAUACCGGAUAAGACCACGGUAUCCAAGGAUACAGGGGUAAAAGAUUUAUCGCUUUCGGAUGAGUCCACGCCCCAUCAGGUAGUUGGUAAGGUAAAGGCUUACCAAGCCUAAGACGGGUAGCCGGCCUUAGCGGGUGAACGGCCACAUGGGGACUGAGACACGGCCCUGACUCCUACGGGAGGCAGCAGUGGGGAAUAUUGGGCAAUGGGCGAAAGCCUGACCCAGCGAUGCCGCGUGAGGGAUGAAGGCCUUCGGGUUGUAAACCUCUGUCAGGAGGGACGAUGGGACUUUGUCUUGACGGUACCUCCAGAGGAAGCCCCGGCUAACUCCGUGCCAGCAGCCGCGGUAAUACGGAGGGGGCAAGCGUUGCUCGGAAUUACUGGGCGUAAAGGGUCCGCAGGCUGUCGGGCAAGUUGGAUGUGAAAGCUCAAGGCUUAACCUUGGAAUUGCAUCCAAAACUGCCUGACUAGAGUCCAAGAGAGGUUGGCGGAAUUCCCGGUGUAGCGGUGAAAUGCAUAGAUAUCGGGAGGAACACCAGUGGCGAAGGCGGCCUUCUGGGCUGCGCCUGACGCUGAGGCGCGAGAGCGUGGGGAGCAAACUGGAUUAGAUACCCUGGUUUC
rnacentral:rRNA from 1 species